AGUGACUCAAAUAGAUCAAGAACACCAACCUUAUAGCUUCACUAAUCAAGCAUGGAAUAAAUUCCAUCUUCCACCCAACUAUAUCACCAUAAUCAACACAACUCAAGGGAUUUAAUCAUCACAAAACAGAACUAAACACUCUUUUAUGCUCUCCAUUUAUUUUCAACACACAAAGUCGAUUUUCAAACAAAUAUCUCAAUAUACACUCGACUUUAUACUUUUUUUUUCUCUUUCUUUUUCUUUUCUCUCUCUUUUUUUUUCUUUUUUUUUCUUUUUUUUCACAACUUUUCUAGAGCUUAUAAGAGUAAAUAGUAGCUCAAUAUCAUCCCUUCUUUUUCACAACCCACUAUGAAUAUUCACCACACAAAGAUUCCCAUAUACUUCAUCACCCCCUAUCAUCCAGCUAAAAAAUAAAAGCUAGAUAGGCUCAAAGUGGAUAACAAAGGAUAAAUUUUUCAAGGAUAGUGUUUGGGAAAAAUUGUGGCUAACAAAAGAUGGCCUAAAAUCAUCUCAUAAUCCUGGGCACAACAGCAACCUCGACACAGAAACCAUGGCAAGUUCUAGAAGAUCACCAC
rnacentral:lncRNA from 1 species